GACGAACGCUGGCGGCGUGCUUAACACAUGCAAGUCGAACGGAAAGGCCCUGCUUUUGUGGGGUGCUCGAGUGGCGAACGGGUGAGUAACACGUGAGUAACCUGCCCUUGACUUUGGGAUAACUUCAGGAAACUGGGGCUAAUACCGGAUAGGAGCUCCUGCUGCAUGGUGGGGGUUGGAAAGUUUCGGCGGUUGGGGAUGGACUCGCGGCUUAUCAGCUUGUUGGUGGGGUAGUGGCUUACCAAGGCUUUGACGGGUAGCCGGCCUGAGAGGGUGACCGGCCACAUUGGGACUGAGAUACGGCCCAGACUCCUACGGGAGGCAGCAGUGGGGAAUAUUGCACAAUGGGCGGAAGCCUGAUACAGCAACGCCGCGUGCGGGAUGACGGCCUUCGGGUUGUAAACCGCUUUCGCCUGUGACGAGGCGUGAGUGACGGUAAUGGGUAAAGAAGCACCGGCUAACUACGUG
rnacentral:rRNA from 1 species